rnacentral:rRNA from 1 species
CGGGGUGCAGCAGGCGCGAAAACUUUACAAUGCUGGCAACAGCGAUAAGGGGACCUCGAGUGCCAGGAUACAAUCUUGGCUGUCGUGAUGCCUAAAAAGCAUUACAUAGCAAGGGCCGGGCAAGACCGGUGCCAGCCGCCGCGGUAACACCGGCGGCUCGAGUGGUAACCGCUAUUAUUGGGUCUAAAGGGUCUGUAGCCGGCCGGAUAAGUCUCUUGAGAAAUCCAGCAGCUCAACUGUUGGGCUUUCAGGGGAUACUGUUCGGCUCGAGGCCGGGAGAGGUGAGAGGUACUUCAGGGGUAGGGGUGAAAUCUUGUAAUCCUUGAAGGACCACCAGUGGCGAAGGCGUCUCACCAGAACGGUCCUGACGGCAAGGGACGAAAGCUAGGGGCACGAACCGGAUUAGAUACCCGGGUAGUCCUAGCCGUAAACGAUACUCGCUAGGUGUCGGCCACGGUGCGACCGUGGUCGGUGCCGUAGGGAAGCCGUGAAGCGAGCCACCUGGGAAGUACGGCCGCAAGGCUGAAACUUAAAGGAAUUGGCGGGGGAGCAC